AGCGAACGCUGGCGGCAGGCCUAACACAUGCAAGUCGAACGAACCCUUCGGGGUUAGUGGCGGACGGGUGAGUAACACGUGGGAACGUGCCUUUAGGUUCGGAAUAACUCAGGGAGACUUGUGCUAAUACCGAAUGUGCCCUUCGGGGGAAAGAUUUAUCGCCUUUAGAGCGGCCCGCGUCUAGUUAGCUAGUUGGUGAGGUAAUGGCUCACCAAGGCUACGAUCAGUAGCUGGUCUGAGAGGAUGACCAGCCACAUUGGGACUGAGACACGGCCCGAACUCCUACGGGAGGCAGCAGUGGGGAAUCUUGCGCAAUGGGCGAAAGCCUGACGCAGCCAUGCCGCGUGGAUGAUGAAGGUCUUAGGAUUGUAAAAUCCUUUCACCGGUGAAGAUAAUGACUGUAGCCGGAGAAGAAGCCCCGGCUAACUUCGUGCCAGCCGCCGCAGUAAAAC
rnacentral:rRNA from 1 species